rnacentral:tRNA from 1 species
UGCGCUGAUGGUCUAGCGGCAUGACUUGGGCCUUCCAAGCCUACAGCCCGGGUUCGAUUCCCGGUCGGCGCAU